AUUGAACGCUGGCGGGAGGCUUAACACAUGCAAGUCGAACGAGUGGCGGACGGGUGAGUAAUGCAUGGGAAUCUAGCUAAUGGAGGGGGAUAACUACGGGAAACUGUAGCUAAUACCGCGUACCAUAGGAGGGGCCCAUGUGGGAUUAGGUAGUUGGUGGGGUAAAGGCUCACCAAGGCGACGAUCACUAGCUGGUCUGAGAGGAUGACCAGCCCCACUGGGACUGAGACACGGCCCAGACUCCUACGGGAGGCAGCAGUGGGGAAUAUUGCGCAAUGGGGGCAACCUGACGCAGCCAUGCCGCGUGAAUGAAGAAGGCCUUCGGGUUGUAAAGUUCUUUCGGUAGCGAAGCGUUAACUACAGAAGAAGCACCGGCUAACUCCGUGCCAGCAGCCGCGGUAAUUC
rnacentral:rRNA from 1 species